UGAAUUUUUAGAACGAUAUAUAAUUUGUGUGAUGCUUACGAUCUGAGUCUGUAUAUAUAAACUUUUUAAUUGUAUUGGAUUAGAUAAACUUUCUAAAAAUGACUGUUUACAAUUACUACAUGAUAUAUUUUAUUAAAAAGUACAAAAGCAUUGCAUAUACCAUGCGAUUGAAUUAUUCAAAAAAAAGUAUCCUGUACGUCGAAUACCCAAGUUAAAAGAUGUUCUCUAAAUGUUAUCGUCAAAUAUAUUUUGAAACAAAAAACAGCCAAGAAAGCGGAAAGAACAAAGGACAAACUUAUUGCUUUAUGCUUUGAUCAAUCCAACAUAUGGAGAUAUAAUUCAAAAGAACAUGAAAACAACACAUGAAGCCAAAUUUAUAAUAAUAAGGGAUAAAACAAGCCAAGGCAAUUCUGAGAGUAGUGAGUUGAGAAAAGAUGAAAUGGAAAAAAUUCCUUUAGCAGAGCAUGAUUCUACAAAACUAAAGAAAGAAAAAUGGUCCACAUCAAAUAGUCCAGUAUUUUACAAUUUUCUUGAUGUAAACAGAGUUCCUAUUCUAUAUACUACUUGUUUAGAAGAAAGUUUUAUAAAACAGUCAAAAUUAAAAGCAAACCAAGUCUUGAGGGAACAGAGAAAAGAAAAACAAGGAAGAAAAUCAUGAAUGUUGCUGAAAACAAUGACAAACAAACGCUUGCAAUAAAAAGCAAUGUUGGAAACAAUGUCAAGUCUAAUGAAUAUUGUAUUGAUAGUGAUGACGAUGAUUUGCCUUUGAAAAACACUCCAUUGUCCAUGGAAUUAGUUGAUUUGUCUCGUCACGAUCGAUCAAAAUGAAGAAUUGUAUGGAGUGUUGCAUAGGAAAUGCGGUAUAGAUCACGCUCAGGCGUUCCUUAUAAAUGUAUGUUACUGCUUUUAUAGAAAAUCCCUAGUGAAAACUCUUUGGUCGACCAUAGAUCGUGGCGCUUUGAAAUAUGAUAUAUAACUUGAAAGAAAAGCAUGCCCCAUAGCAAGUCGCCAGACUACCAUCUAAAAUAACAAACAUUGUUUUAAAUAAUACGUUAGAUAAAAAUAGGGAAGUGACUGAAUUUCUGUGUACACAUGCGCACAAAUAAUAUGAUAAAUUUGUUCUCUUUAAAUGUAUCAACGACAACCAUUAAUUACUGAUAAUGAUGAAGAACUAACUACCAAAAAUAUUUGAAAAACAUGAAAAAGAAAGAAAUGUGAAUGGUGUAAUAAAAACGCAGGAUUUGAAUUGACAAGUUGCCUUCCAUUAUCUAUUGAGCAGGUCUUAGGCACCCGAGUUGCAACAGUCCGAAGCUGUGAAUAAUGACAGCACCCUGCCAAAGAUAAGUCACGUAUUUUCUUUGAGUGAAAUAAACAAAUUACCUAUGAAUACUAAAGAGAAGAUUGAGGAAGAGAAGGUGAACAAUCCCAACUCGAUAGACCUGGAGAAGGAAAUCUCGUAUUCAUGGAUCAUUAAAGCCUUCCAAUCUGAUGUUCAUGAAAAUAUGCUUUACAUAAAAAACAAUGGUUGCACUAAUGACUACGAAAAUGAUUCUAAUCCUGCUGAUGAAAGUGAAGAUUCGGAUGAUGCUUCUAACGUUUCAUGGAGUAAUAAUAACAUUCAAACAUAUAAAAGCCAGAAAUCGAGUAUGAGAAAACUGAAGAAAAUUCACAUACAUUUGCAAUAUAACUAUUAGUUGAGAUUAACUCUGGUUUAUAUUCUGUUAUAAAAUAAAUUGAAGUAUAUUUAUUU
rnacentral:lncRNA from 1 species